rnacentral:rRNA from 1 species
UUCAUAGAGGAAGUAAAAAGUCGUAACAAGGUCUCCGUAGGUGAACCUGCGGAGGGAUCAUUACAAGUGACCCCCGGUCUAACCACCGGGAUGUUCAUAACCCUUUGUUUGUCCGACUCUGUUGCCUCCGGGGCGACCCCUGCCUUCGGGCGGGGGCUCCGGGUGGACACUUCAAACUCUUGCGUAACUUUGCAGUCUGAGUAAACUUAAUUAAUAAAUUAAAACUUUUAACAACGGAUCUCUUGGUUCUGGCAUCGAUGAAGAACGCAGCGAAAUGCGAUAAGUAAUGUGAAUUGCAGAAUUCAGUGAAUCAUCGAAUCUUUGAACGCACAUUGCGCCCCCUGGUAUUCCGGGGGGCAUGCCUGUUCGAGCGUCAUUUCACCACUCAAGCCUCGCUUGGUAUUGGGCAACGCGGUCCGCCGCGUGCCUCAAAUCGACCGGCUGGGUCUUCUGUCCCCUAAGCGUUGUGGAAACUAUUCGCUAAAGGGUGUUCGGGAGGCUACGCCGUAAACAACCCCAUUUCUAAGGUUGACCUCGGAUCAGGUAGGGAUACCCGCUGAACUUAAGCAUAUC